AAGGAUUUAAGUUAAAAAAACUAUUAACCUUCAAAGUUAAAAUUAUAAAAAUUAUAAGCCUUA
rnacentral:tRNA from 1 species